AGUGAACGUUGGCGGCGUGGAUUAGGCAUGCAAGUCGAGCGAGAACCGUAGCAAUACGGGGACAGCGGCGAAAGGGACAGUAAUGUGUAGGUACCUACCCCGAGGUCUUGGAUAGCUGCGGGAAACUGCAGGUAAUACCGGAUAAUGCCUUCGGACCAAAGGUGUGAUUCCACCUUGGGAGGGGCCUGCAUCCUAUUAGCUAGUUGGCGGGGUAAUGGCCCACCAAGGCGACGAUGGUUAGCGGGUGUGAGAGCACGACCCGCGUCAUUGGGACUGAGACACUGCCCAGACACCUACGGGUGGCUGCAGUCGAGGAUCUUCGGCAAUGGGCGAAAGCCUGACCGAGCGACGCCGCGUGCGGGAUGAAGGCCUUCGGGUUGUAAACCGCUGUCGUAGAGGAGGAAAUGCAGGUGGGUUCUCCCAUCUGUUUGACCUAUUCUGGGAGGAAGUACGGGCUAAGUUCGUGCCAGCCGCCGCCGUAA
rnacentral:rRNA from 1 species